GUAUCUUUCUCACCGCGUUACUCCAUCAAUCGUUGUACCGCAUUGCAUUACUGUGGGAAUUGUGGUUGGAAAUGACAGAACUCUUCGUUUGAUUUAUAGCUCAGAAUAAGAUGAGGACUUAGAUCUUCCCACGUCUUGCUGAGUGGGCAAAGUUUUUCCUCUGUUGGUGUUCAUAUGGAUCGGAGAAGAUGAAGAUGGUGACGAUGAGGCAGAUGAGAAGCGAUUCUUCUGAGUUUAUUUUCCAAGAACUGAGCGUGGCCAUCCCACUUUCUGCUGAUCCAAAGUGCCACAUGGAGUUACCAAUUCAUGAAUCACAUCUCCAAAUGCUCUCUGGGACCCGGUUGCUCAGGAAGGAGUCAUGAACCUUCCCAAUCUAAGGGAAGAAAUUGAAGAGAACCAAGGGCCUAUUGCAAUUGUGUAUUCAAUUUUUGCAGAACGACCAAGAUUCUAAUAUAUUUUUUCUGGGAGCAACCUUUUCUGAACCACGGGAGUUCUCUAAUGAGGACAUACAUUUACUCGUGUAAUAGAAGUGGGUAAUGUACACACUACACAGAGUCACAGACCCAACAAAAUUUUUCUCCUUAAUCCUGGCAGAAUGGGAAUUUCCAAGAACCAGUCGAAGUGGGCAAUGUCAACAUAUUGUAGUGGCAAGUAAACACGAGGCAAUUGCACGCUUUUAGCACUAUGAGAAGAGAAGAGGAGAAGCCAGGAUCCUUUUACCCAACAAGUAUCUUCUAUGUAGUCCGAUUACAGUUUAAAGGUGCAUGAUUACCAAUAAUUUUGGCUUAUAAAAUUAGAUCUUGACGAUCAUAUCCGCCAGUAUAAAGAACCAAAUGGGUGAUUGAUUGCUUAAUCACUUUUUAUCUUAAUUGACAUGAAAGCAUAUU